CCUACGGGUGGCAGCAGUGAGGAAUAUUGGUCAAUGGACGAGAGUCUGAACCAGCCAAGUAGCGUGAAGGAUGACUGCCCUCUGGGUUGUAAAUUUCUUUUAUAUGGGAAUAAAAUGUUCCACGUGUGGGAUUUUGUAUGUACCAUAUGAAUAAGGAUCGGCUAACUCCGUGCCAGCAGCCGCGGUACUACGGAGGAUCCGAGCGUUAUCCGGAUUUAUUGGGUUUAAAGGGAGCGUAGGUGGAUUGUUAAGUCAGUUGUGAAAGUUUGGGGCUCAACCGUAAAAUUGCAGUUGAUACUGGCAGGCUUGAGUACAGUAGAGGUGGGCGGAAUUCGUGGUGUAGCGGUGAAAUGCUUAGAGAUCACGAAGAACACCGAUUGCGAAGGCAGCUCACUGGACUGCAACUGACACUGAGGUGCGAAAGUGUGGGGAUCAAACAGGAUUAGAUACCCGGGUAGUC
rnacentral:rRNA from 1 species